rnacentral:lncRNA from 1 species
AUUAUGCUAAUUAAUUACUAAUUUAAAUUAUACUUAAUUAAACAUUUUGUAUUUUUUUAUAGACUAAAACAUUUUCAUAUUUUUUUAAGAAUUAUGAAUCAAACACCAAUUAAAAUGUAACUUUAUAAACAUUUUGUAUUUUUUUAUAGACUAAAACAUUUUCAUAUUUUUUUAAGAAUUAUGAAUCAAACACCAAUUAAAAUGUAACUUUAACUGUGGAAUCCAAGUGCACCUUCAGUAAGUAAAAAAAAACAUAUCAUGCUCUUCAAUUGAUUUAUACAGCAUCUCAUUUUCUCUUGUUCUCAAAUUGGACCCCUCAACCAAUCAUCCAUCGACAC